GAGCGGCGAACGGGUGAGUAACACGUGAGUAACCUGCCCCAGACUUUGGGAUAACCCUCGGAAACGGGGGCUAAUACCGAAUAUGACUUCUGNNCGCAUGACCGGGNGUGGAAAGUUUUUCGGUUUGGGAUGGACUCGCGGCCUAUCAGCUUGUUGGUGGGGUAAUGGCCUACCAAGGCGACGACGGGUAGCCGGCCUGAGAGGGCGACCGGCCACACUGGGACUGAGACACGGCCCAGACUCCUACGGGAGGCAGCAGUGGGGAAUAUUGCACAAUGGGCGGAAGCCUGAUGCAGCGACGCCGCGUGAGGGAUGACGGCCUUCGGGUUGUAAACCUCUUUCAGCAGGGACGAAGGGUGACUGACGGUACCUGCAGAAGAAGCGCCGGCCAACUACGUGCCAGCAGCCGCGGUAAGACGUAGGGCGCGAGCGUUGUCCGGAUUUAUUGGGCGUAAAGAGCUCGUAGGCGGCUUGUCGCGUCGACUGUGAAAACUUGGGGCUCAACUCCAAGCUUGCAGUCGAUACGGGCAGGCUAGAGUUCGGUAGGGGAGACUGGAAUUCCU
rnacentral:rRNA from 1 species